UAAAUGUUUGAUAGUUUUUUCUAUUGAAUUCGAGAUUUAAGUCGGUCGCUAAUGUUACCUUUUUAUUUCAGAAUCAAUAUCAACAUUCAAAGGCGGAGUUUCUUCGUACUCAGCCACCCAACACAGAGCUGACAGAAGAACAAAUGGAGGAAAGGUGGCUUGAGAGUGUUGGUGGUCCCACUAGGUUUGGCACAGCUUACGGAAUGCCACAUCCUAUCUAGCCGCUACGUGCCUCGGAGGAAAGGGAGAGGCGGAGGGACGUGCAGUUUGACGGUAUGAGGGCCCAGUUAGACGCAUUACUUGCUUCGAGGGGGAUUCCCUCGUGUCCUGAUGAUGCUCGUAACCCCCAUACUCAAUCUAAUGGUGCGACUGAUGAUGGGACUCAUGUGUCAAACACACAAAGGCAUGUUUGAAUGUUAAUGUUGUGGAUUUGCGAGGGGUGAAGUAGUCUAAUGUUGUAGACUAACUUAGUGUAGACUAGUUUAAUAUUUUGUGGAUGUUUACAAAUGUUGAAGUAGUUUAAUGUUGUUUUGAUGUUUGCGAAGGUUGAAGUAGCUUAAUUAAUGUCUCUUGUGAAUGUUUGAUUGACGUUUUUAUUCAACUUUGAAGUAGUUUCGAAUUGAAUUUGAUGUUUUGGUGGUUGUAAUAUAUGUGUUGUAAUAGUAGCUUAUUGUUUUAUGUAUUUAUAGUAGUUUGGUGUA